CCCUUCACUCUGGGACAAGCCCUGGAAACGGGGUCUAAUACCGGAUAACACCUGCCCGGGCAUCUGGGUGGGUUAAAAGCUCCGGCGGUGAAGGAUGAGCCCGCGGCCUAUCAGCUUGUUGGUGAGGUAGUGGCUCACCAAGGCGACGACGGGUAGCCGGCCUGAGAGGGCGACCGGCCACACUGGGACUGAGACACGGCCCAGACUCCUACGGGAGGCAGCAGUGGGGAAUAUUGCACAAUGGGCGAAAGCCUGAUGCAGCGACGCCGCGUGAGGGAUGACGGCCUUCGGGUUGUAAACCUCUUUCAGCAGGGAAGAAGCGAAAGUGACGGUACCUGCAGAAGAAGCGCCGGCUAACUACGUGCCAGCAGCCGCGGUAAUACGUAGGGCGCAAGCGUUGUCCGGAAUUAUUGGGCGUAAAGAGCUCGUAGGCGGCUUGUCACGUCGGGUGUGAAAGCCCGGGGGCUUAACCCCGGGUCUGCAUU
rnacentral:rRNA from 1 species